rnacentral:rRNA from 1 species
GACAGAGGAGGCAAGCGUUGCUCGGAAUCACUGGGCAUAAAGGGCGCGUAGGCGGGAUGGCAAGUCGGUCGUGAAAUCCCUCGGCUCAACCGAGGGGCGUCGGCCGAAACUGCCGUUCUCGAGGGAUGCAGAGGAGACUGGAAUUCCCGGUGUAACGGUGAAAUGUGUAGAGAUCGGGAGGAAUACCGGUGGCGAAGGCGAGUCUCUGGGCAUCUCCUGACGCUGAGGCGCGAAAGCGUGGGGAGCAAAC